UAUGGUCUGACACCAUGUGCCGCGGACUUCCGGCAGAUCGCUUCAUGUCUCCGAGCCUCAGUUUCUGCCCUCUGUGAGGUGGGGUGAAAGUGUAAGAUUCUAACUAGCCCGUCUUCUUCCCUGGGUCUCCCAGACAUCCACAAGCGCUGGGCUCUGCUGUGGCUGGGCUGUCUACUCCUCGCAGCUGUGCUUCUCUUCUUCCUCCUUUUCAGAAAGGACCACGUGAAAGGGUGGCUGAGGCUCUUGAAGCAGGACGUCCGUUCGGGGGUGGUCGUCCGGGGCCGCGCGGCCCUGCUCCUCUACUCGGCGGAUGACGCAGG